AGUUAAAGGUAAAUCUUAUUUUUUUGUAUAUUUUUAUUCUAAUUUUUAAAAAACCCACAUUUACAUGGUUAAAUAAAAAGGCUUAUUAUAUAAUAGAUUCUGUGCCUGUUCCCUUCACUCACAGUUUUGGAUUCUCUCCAAUGUUUCUUAUAGAAAGAAAGAAGCAAAUCUGUAUACAUACUCUUUAUUUUUUCUACUUUCUACUACCAAAGGUAGCAUAAUGUGUGCAACAAUGUGUCACACUAUCAUGGUGGACUUCUCUGAGAAGGUGCAGUUUUAUUUUUAUUUUAUGAGGAAGGCAACUGGACAGGACAGACAAGGCAGGCUUGCAUGUAUAGCAUUUGGAUGUAAAUAUGCAGUACAGCCCUAACGGUUUUGGCUCAAUGGAGAGCAUUACCCCUCCGACUGAAUGGUCCCAGGGGUUUGAGUCCUGUACUGGGCAUGUUUCUUGGUUGUGAGCUCUAUUCCCUGUAGGGGGCGUGCAGGAGGCAGCUGAUAUGUGUUUCUCUCAUCAAUGUCUCUAGCUCUAUCCCUCUAAAAAAAAAACAAACAAACAAUAAAAAUAUAUUAAAUAAACAAAUAUGCAUUGCAUGUGUCUGGAACCAAGUCACAUGUAGGUCUCUGUUGUCAAAAAGGAGAUAUUCUGGAAUCCACUUUCAGUUAUCUCGUUAGCAUCCAUCAUAGUAAGACGCAGGACUUGGGCACCUGGGUCAGAAGAGGAUGCAAAAGCAUCACUACCGACUGUGGCCUGCUUUUGCUGAUAUGCAAGAGGAGCUGACGUUAGAGCAGUGUCCGCUUAUCCUGGCCACCAGGGCAACCAUCUCACUGCCUCUCAUUAUGAAAGGGAAACCAGAAGAGAAAGGACCAGCAAAGAUCACAGAGAUCAGGGCUUCUGUCUGUGUAACUAGCAGGAAAAUAGUUGUUUGGCUGAGGAAGCAUGAAGCUAUGAUUCAUGGGCAGGUGGGAAAGAGAUGGGAACUAACACAUUCUGAGCAAAAGUGGGGAAUGCGCCAGGGAAGGUGGACCCAGGAUUCAUGGGGUGAGACGUAAGAGCCCCUCACUCCUCAGCACGGUGGUCUGGGGAACUCUGAGGGUAGUGAAAAAGCAUGUAGUUCUGAUGAACUUGUCUGAGCAUGGUCCAGCCCAGUGCCCAGAUCAUGACACUCGGUCUUCAAACGAGCUGUAUUCAUGAUGUGGCGGAGGGGUGUCCACACCAGGAACCUGGCCACUUGGUUUCUGAAGAAGCACUUGGUUGGAUUCUUAUGCUUUGAGCUGCUUCCUUAAUGGGACUCUCAGGGCUGAGGGACUCUCCUAACCCUCCUCUGUUCAUCUUCACUUCUGCUCCUGUGUAUCUCGCCCCCUGCUGUUCACUCUAGUAAUUGUAUGGGGAGACUGCUUGACUUCUCUCACAUGCCAGGACUAGUCUGUUGCUGAUCACUCAGCUGUUCCCACUGGGAGGGUGACGGGCCAGGCUGAACUCUGACUUUGAGGCAGUGGUCCGGCCCAGGCAAGGAUGUUCUGCCAUGUGCCUCCAUUCACACAGUAUCUCCAGGCCCAGCUUUGGUGUUUGUCAAGUGCUUACCUGCAUCUUCUCCAGUGUAGUUUCUCCUCGGAGGGCCCCCCAGUAGCAACUGCCUGAGGUCACACAGUGUGGUAGCACCACCAGAAUUGUUUUUGGGGGCCUUGAGUCAAGUACUGUUAUUCCCUGUUUCAUAGCAUGUCCCACAUAUGUAUCACCUUACCAUCUUUGUACCCUUUACCUAAAAAUAGAAUGGAUAAAAGUGUAAUGCUAUGCAGUAUGUUACCGAUUGAUGUAAGUUAAUCAUACCCAUACCUGAUGGAAAAAAAAGGUGCUGCGAAGUCUGGGAAUGGUCACUUUGAGUAUUUUCCAAACCUAAUUAGAUUUAAAUGCAAAAUAGUCCUCUAUUCCACCUUUUCUUAACCUGCAUGCAUGCUCAAAUCACCUAAGGAGCUACAAGAUAAAC